rnacentral:rRNA from 1 species
AGAGCGAACGCUGGCGGCAGGCCUAACACAUGCAAGUCGAGCGCCCGUAGCAAUACGGGAGCGGCAGACGGGAUAGUAACACGUGGGAACGCGCCCUUCGGUUCGGAAUAACUCAGGGAAACUUGAGCUAAUACCGGAUACGCCCUUACGGGGAAAGAUUUAUUGCCGAAGGAACGGCCCGCGUCCGAUUAGCUAGUUGGUGAGGUAAUGGCUCACCAAGGCGACGAUCGGUAGCUGGUCUGAGAGGAUGACCAGCAUCACUGGGACUGAGGCACGGCCCAGACUCCUACGGGAGGCAGCAGUGGGGAAUAUUGGACAAUGGGCGCAAGCCUGAUCCAGCCAUGCCGCGUGGAUGAUGAAGGCCCUAGGGUUGUAAAGUCCUUUUAACGGGGAAGAUAAUGACGGUACCGUAGAAUAAGCCCCGGCUAACUUCGUGCCAGCAGCCGC